rnacentral:rRNA from 1 species
GAGAGUAGUACUAGGAUGGGUAACCUCCUGGGAAGUCCUCGUGUUGCACCCC